GAUCAUGGCUCAGGAUGAACGCUAGCGGCAGGCCUAACACAUGCAAGUCGAGGGUAGUACUUUCGGGUAAUGAGACCGGCGCACGGGUGCGUAACGCGUAUGCAAUCUACCUUUACAGGGGAAUAGCCCAGAGAAAUUUGGAUUAAUGCCCCCAUAGUAUGUGAGAAUCGCAUGGUUUUCACAUUAAAGUUCCAACGGUAAAAGAUGAGCAUGCGUCCCAUUAGCUAGAUGGUAAGGUAACGGCUUACCAUGGCGACGAUAGGUAGGGGGCCUGAGAGGGUGGUCCCCCACACUGGUACUGAGACACGGACCCGACUCCUACGGGAGGCAGCAGUAAGGAAUAUUGGACAAUGCCCGCAAGGGUGAUCCAGCCAUGCCGCGUGCAGGAAGACGGCCCUAUGGGUUGUAAACUGCUUUUAUACAAGAGAAAACCUCCCUACGUGUAGGGAGCUGAUAGUAUUGUAGGAAUAAGCAUCGGCUAACUUCGUG
rnacentral:rRNA from 1 species